rnacentral:rRNA from 1 species
UACGUAGGGGGCAAGCGUUGUUCGGAUUUACUGGGCGUAAAGGGUGCGUAGGUGGUGAGGUAAGUCGGAUGUGAAAGCUCGGAGCUCAACUCCGAAAUGGCAUUGGAAACUACCUUGCUCGAGGGUUGGAGGGGGGACUGGAAUACUUGGUGUAGCAGUGAAAUGCGUAGAUAUCAAGUGGAACACCAGUGGCGAAGGCGAGUCCCUGGACAACUCCUGACACUGAGGCACGAAAGCUAGGGGAGCAAACAGG